rnacentral:rRNA from 1 species
AUUGAACGCUAGCGGCAUGCCUUACACAUGCAAGUCGAACGGCAGCACGGGGGCAACCCUGGUGGCGAGUGGCGAACGGGUGAGUAAUGCAUCGGAACGUACCCGGUAGUGGGGGAUAACUGCUCGAAAGAGCAGCUAAUACCGCAUAUUCCCUGCGGUGGAAAGCGGGGGACCGAACGGCAUCCCGCUUGCGGAGCGGCCGAUGUCGGAUUAGCUCGUGGGUGGGGGAAAGGCCUACCAAGGCGACGAUCCGUAGCUGGUCUGAGAGGAUGAUCCGCCACACUGGAACUGAGACACGGUCCAGACUCCUACGGGAGGCAGCAGUGGGGAAUAUUGCGCAAUGGGCGAAAGCCUGACGCAGCAAUACCGCGUGAGUGAGGAAGGUCUUCGGAUUGUAAAGCUCUGUCAGGGUGGAAAAACGGCGAGUGGUCUAAUAGGCCAUUUGAUUGAUGGUACACCCAAAGGAAACACCGGCUAACUUCGUGCCAGCCGCCGCCGUAA